AAUAGAGGAAGCAUGUUCAUUAUGGACUUCAGACUUCAGUCAGCAGAUGUUAUUGUAGUUAGAUCAUACAGAACACCAUGAGGUAAGACUGUUACUCAGAUGUUAUUGUAGUUAGAUCAUACAGAACACCAUGAGGUAAGGUUAUUGUAGU